GUGCGACACUGUUUACUGUUGUUGAAGGUGAGGAAACUGAGGCACAGUUUGGGACUGUGCUUGGGAACUUGCUUGGGAGCAGCGUGAAGAGUUAGGAAUCCAGGAAGUCUGGCUCCAGAGUCGGGCUCUAAACCACCAACGCUUUGUUGAAUGACUUAGGAUAAAAGAACACAGCCAAGGGGAGAAGGGACCCCUCUCUUUCCAGAUCGGCUGAGAACCUGGCGGAUGCUUCAUCUCAAGACAGGCUGGCUAUGGCAUGCUGGCAGCCCUCUCUGGUGAACAGUGGCGUCAGCAAGGCUGCCUGGGCUUGACGAGGGCAGUGUAGCCACCUAAGCACAGGUGACCAUCAAAGGAGAGUGACACCUUUAAAGAGGGGUCAUCAGAAACCAGAGGGCAGGCCUGUGCGAGCUGGCAGGGCACUGGGGACCAUUGAGACCCAACCGUACGACAUAGGAGCUUCAGGACGUGAGGUGGGCACUCUUUCAUGUAAAAAAUCCCAGAGGAAAGAGAUCGCCGGGACUCGAGACCCCUUAACCCGCCCCAUCCACAGUCAACGAAUCCCUGAGACCGGAUUCCCUAACGAGGCGCUCCCGGUGCCACCGCCCGCCAGACCCGGGCCCCACACCGUGAUCGCCGCCUCCGGGACGCCUCACCGAGCUCUGGAGACUCAGGACCCGUCGGCCCGGCCAGUAACCGCAGGCGCCUCUGCCACCACCGCUUCACCUGCCGCGACGCCCGCAGUGCGGUCUGGGGGCCGCCAUUUUCUCGCCCACGUGACCGUGCCGGACGGCACCAACGCAGCCGCGGGUGAGACCUAGUGAGAGGCUCCGUGCAUGAGGGAGGCCCGGAAGGCUGAGUCGGUGCUGGUGCCACAGCUCAUGCAAACGCAGGAACAGUAUUCCUAGUGCGUUCUUCGGGGAAGGGGACGGGCAACGUAUGCCCUUUCAUGGGAAAAAAUUCUCUCCAACCUCCCCACUGCGGUACAAGAAGUGAGACUGGUUUGUGCCGAUUCAGCGCCCUGCCUGGGCUGGCUAGCAACGGAGCAUGCGCAGUGUUUCUAGGCGUGGUCAGACUCCAGAGGUGUUGGCCAAUGGGCUCAGGGAGCUCGAACCUUAAGUAGGUGAGG
rnacentral:lncRNA from 10 species